UACAGAGGGGGCAAGCGUUGUUCGGAAUUACUGGGCGUAAAGCGUGCGCAGGCGACUUUGCAAGACAGAUGUGAAAUCCCCGGGCUCAACCUGGGAACUGCAUUUGUGACUGCAAGGCUAGAGUACGGUAGAGGGGGAUGGAAUUCCGCGUGUAGCAGUGAAAUGCGUAGAUAUGUGGAGGAACACCGAUGGCGAAGGCAGCCCCCUGGGUCAAGACUGACGCUCAUGCACGAAAGCGUGGGGAGCAAACAGG
rnacentral:rRNA from 1 species